AGAUGGGCAUGCGUGACAUUAGCUAGUUGGUGAGGUAACGGCUCACCAAGGCAACGAUGUCUAGGGGUCCUGAGAGGGUUAUCCCCCACACUGGUACUGAGACACGGACCAGACUCCUACGGGAGGCAGCAGUAAGGAAUAUUGGUCAAUGGGCGCAAGCCUGAACCAGCCAUGCCGCGUGCAGGAAGACGGCCCUAUGGGUUGUAAACUGCUUUUGUCAGGGAAUAAACCUAUCUACGUGUAGAUAGCUGAAGGUACCUGAAGAAUAAGCAUCGGCUAACUCCGUGCCAGCAGCCGCGGUAAUACGGAGGAUGCAAGCGUUAUCCGGAUUCAUUGGGUUUAAAGGGUGCGCAGGCUGAUUAUUAAGUCAGGGGUGAAAUCUCUCGGCUCAACCGAGAAACUGCCUUUGAUACUGAUAGUCUAGAGUAUAGUUGAAGUUGGCGGAAUGUGUCAUGUAGCGGUGAAACGCUUAGAUAUGACACAGAACACCGAUCGCGAAGGCAGCUAGCUAAGCUAUAACUGACGCUCAUGCACGAAAGCGUGGGGAUCAAACAGGAUUAGAUACCCUGGUAGUCCACGCUGUAAACGGUGAUUACUCGAUGUUGGCGAUACACAGUCAGCGUCUAAGGGAAACCAAUAA
rnacentral:rRNA from 1 species